rnacentral:rRNA from 1 species
AAUCCAUAGGUUAAUGAGGCGAACCGGGGGAACUGAAACAUCUAAGUACCCCGAGGAAAAGAAAUCAACCGAGAUUCCCCCAGUAGCGGCGAGCGAACGGGGAGGAGCCCAGAGCCUGAAUCAGCAUGUGUGUUAGUGGAAGCGUCUGGAAAGGCGCGCGAUACAGGGUGACAGCCCCGUACACAAAAGCGCAUGUGCUGUGAGCUCGAUGAGUAGGGCGGGACACGUGGUAUCCUGUCUGAAUAUGGGGGGACCAUCCUCCAAGGCUAAAUACUCCUGACUGACCGAUAGUGAACCAGUACCGUGAGGGAAAGGCGAAAAGAACCCCGGCGAGGGGAGUGAAAAAGAACCUGAAACCGUGUACGUACAAGCAGUGGGAGCACCCUUUGGGGUGUGACUGCGUACCUUUUGUAUAAUGGGUCAGCGACUUAUAUUCUGUAGCAAGGUUAACCGUAUAGGGGAGCCGGAGGGAAACCGAGUCUUAAUUGGGCGUUAAGUUGCAGGGUAUAGACCCGAAACCCGGUGAUCUAGCCAUGGGCAGGUUGAAGGUUGGGUAACACUAACUGGAGGACCGAACCGACUAAUGUUGAAAAAUUAGCGGAUGACCUGUGGCUGGGGGUGAAAGGCCAAUCAAACCGGGAGAUAGCUGGUUCUCCCCGAAAGCUAUUUAGGUAGCGCCUCGUGAAUUCAUCUCCGGGGGUAGAGCACUGUUUCGGCUAGGGGGCCAUCCCGGCUUACCAACCCGAUGCAAACUGCGAAUACCGGAGAAUGUUAUCACGGGAGACACACGGCGGGUGCUAACGUCCGUCGUGAAGAGGGAAACAACCCAGACCGCCAGCUAAGGUCCCAAAGUCAUGGUUAAGUGGGAAACGAUGUGGGAAGGCCCAGACAGCCAGGAUGUUGGCUUAGAAGCAGCCAUCAUUUAAAGAAAGCGUAAUAGCUCACUGGUCGAGUCGGCCUGCGCGGAAGAUGUAACGGGGCUAAACCAUGCACCGAAGCUGCGGCAGCGACACUCAGGUGUUGUUGGGUAGGGGAGCGUUCUGUAAGCCUG